UACGUAGGGCGCAAGCGUUGUCCGGAAUUAUUGGGCGUAAAGAGCUCGUAGGCGGUUUGUCGCGUCUGCUGUGAAAACCUAAGGCUCAACCUUGGGCUUGCGGUGGGUACGGGCAGACUAGAGUGCGGUAGGGGUGACUGGAAUUCCUGGUGUAGCGGUGGAAUGCGCAGAUAUCAGGAGGAACACCGAUGGCGAAGGCAGGUCACUGGGCCGCAACUGACGCUGAGGAGCGAAAGCAUGGGGAGCGAACAGG
rnacentral:rRNA from 1 species